rnacentral:misc_RNA from 1 species
AACGCACAUUGCGCCCGCCGGUAUUCCGGCGGGCAUGCCUGUUCGAGCGUCAUUUCAACCAUCAAGCCCAGCGCUUGUGUUGGGGACCUGCGGCUGCCGCAGGCCCUGAAAACCAGUGGCGGCCUCGCUGUAGCACCGGGCGUAGUAGUUAAAUCUCGCUCUGGUUCGCGCGGCGGGCGCCUGCCGUUAAACCCCUUCUAACCAAAGGUUGACCUCGGAUCAGGUAGGAAUACCCGCUGAACUUAA